CUUUCGGAGCUGUGCGGCAUUCUGAGCAGUUCUGUGGCAAAGGAGGAUGAAGGCUUACGAGGACUCGUCAGGAAGCUGGAUAACAGAGCGAGCGCAAUGUGCUAGAAUAGAAGACCAGAAAAUGAAAUGGUGGAGUUUGAGGCUGGAUAGACAGUUUGAAAGGGCUCCUGUGACAAGUGGACAUGCAGUGACUGCACCUUUGUUUCUGAGGUGCCUGGAUGGAGGCUCAAAUAGAAGAUGGUGUCAGAUAUAUUGUGUUAAAAUUUUACCAUUAAAGUGUAUUAUAACAUGAA
rnacentral:lncRNA from 1 species